CAAGGUCGGGUACAAGCCCGAUGUGGUCGUUGGAGGGAAGGACCUGGAGCACGACUGGAGGGCGCACCGUGGGAUGGGCUACUUCAUCGAGCCGCUCGUUUUGCUCGGCCUCUUCGCCAGGUCGACCUUGUCCAUUCGUCUCAAAGCUGAAGGGUGUUUUCUUAUCCUGUUUCUGCUUGAGAUUAAUUGAUUCGAUGUCAGAUUAUGUGUAUAUACUUGCAAGUUCAAAAUGUAGUAUAAUAGUGUUGAUAUAAUGUAGUGCUGGGCACCACCUCGUGUGUUUAUCAUACACAUGCACUGUGAUUAUCUAAUUUAGCACGUUGCUGGUCUUAUAAUGCUACUCUGCAUACUUAACUUGCUGCCUGGUAGGGGUUCCCCUUGAAGGAUUGAUUGUUCUCUGUAUCCUACCAUGAUAUAUUCUCAGCGAUUUUACUGAAAUUGCUGUAGUCUGAAAAAUAGUUAACAGUUUCUCUGUUUGGUACUAUUAAACUGAUAGUCAGAGAAACUUUUAAAUUGUUGGUUUCAUACUACUCACAACCAACAGAUGAAUUUCAGUACUUCUGUUUGGUACUAUUUGCCACUAGUAAGAACAAUUGUUUGUGAAGCUAGUAAAAAUCAUGGAACUUAAAAGGUCAAAUAUGUUGAUUUAUCUCUUUUCAGCCUUAACAGAGAAGAUGGAGUUAUCCGUUCUAUUUAGCCUAUUUUUACUUGGGUUGGAUUAACCUGUGAACAAAAUUCAAGUUCCUAUAAUACUAAAUUAAAUCUAGUUUUUGCACAUCAUAUUGUUUUCAGGUUUAGCACCUGAGCUGUAUUCUUCCACAUGAAUGGAACCACUUAGGGUUAUUUUAGCACGUUGCAGUUCCAGCCUGAGAGAAACUGCAGUUUCCCCUCCAACUCAGUGAUUAUUGGUCCACAUGAAUGACAUGUUUUUAAAUCUAUUUCCUAAUUUUGUGGUCUGCGGAACAAGGCUCAUUGCUGUAGCUGCUCAAAAGUUCAUUGCAGACAUCGCAGACAUUGCUGUUACUUAGUAUAUGUUGCAUUGUAGUUUCGCUGGAGAUUUUGCUUGAGAGCCACUUGGAUUCACGCAGCAUCAGGAGGAGCUCAAGCACGACCACCAAGAGGCACCACCACAGCAGCAGGGCGAUCAUGGAGGGCAUGCAGUCAUUCUGUUAGCCCAGUCCAGUGAGUCCGGCAUUUGAUCUCUAUCGAAGCAGCUCCAUGUUGAAGAAGAAAACACUUGUAGAGCUUGUAACAUUACUUGGAGAGCUUGUAAAGUACUGUAGAGCUUUGCAUUUGUAGAGCUUGUAAAGCAUUGUAUAUGUUGAGCUUGUAUUACGUGUCAUUUGUAGAGCUUGUAGUGAAUCUGGCUAUUGUUAUUUGAAUUAUUAUGUGUAUUUUCUGCUUGCCUAUUUAAAUACUGGUUGUUUUCU